GGAAGGUUGGCAGAGUGGUUGAAUGCACCGGUCUUGUUCAAUCGAGCGCCACGCGGGAAACCGCAUGGCUGUAAGGAGUCAAAUUCGGCGAAGCCCCUGGCCCUGUCCGAGGUAACGCCGAGCGAAGGCCACCCCUGCCGGGGCGGCAACGUGUAGAGACUUGACGGCUCCCACCUAAGGUCGCCCGACUAUGGUGAAGGCAAAGUCCAGACCAGCAAACAGACAUCGUUCUGGUGGCGAAAGCCAUAGCGGUACGGAAAACCGGCGGGGCUUCACGGCCCUCGUGAGUUCGAAUCUCACACCUUCCGCCA
rnacentral:tRNA from 8 species